rnacentral:misc_RNA from 1 species
CAUGGAAUUUUGCUGUAAACUUCCGCUUCCGGUACACCAUCCUCGUGCUUCUGUUUACAACUGUCGCAGUCACUUCCUUACCUUCGUUGUUCUGUCAGCCGUGGCUCGACGCUCCACACCUGGCCACCCCACUGAGAAAGUUGGAGGCAAAUGAUGGACUCUGAUUCAUCCAGGGCUGGCAUUGAGUCUGCAUCUCGGAAUCACAGAACAAAGAAGAAGAAGAAAAAAGGCUCAGCAGGUAAAUCCCCUAGUACCAAGGGAAGUACCUUAAAUGACUGUAGUCCCAAGGAUGGGAACAUUGACAACAAGACACCCUUGAAUCCUCUCAUGGAUACCUCAAAUAAUGUUGAGUUAGGGACCAAUUCAUCAGACCCUAAAGACACCCUAAAUAAUAUUGACACUCUAGAUCCUAAUCCGGAUAUAGCUGGUGCCACUGAUCCUAAGAACAAGAUGAUGGGGUCAGCCCCUAUAAGCACAUUAAACAAUAUUGACACUGGCAUCAAUGUCUCAGAGUCUGGUUUAACUCUUGCUAAGGAUUCUUGGAUAACUAAAACUGAUUCUACAAUUGAGAAGAAGAAGAAAAAUUUGAAUUCUCCCCAGAAUAAUUUAGACAACGUUGAGAUUGAGGUGAAUAAUUCAGAUUCUUGUCCAACUUUUCAUAGCAGUUCAUUGAUAGAAGAAGCUCAUGGUAAUGUUAAUCUCAGAAAUCUCAGAAGUACUGGCAUUGAAAGUGAUAACAUGGGUCAUGCAGAAUCAAGUGACCCCCAUGAAUCAGAUGCACCUCACCCCUCUGUCAACAGCAACAUUGGCUUGGAAUUUCCAUAUACAGAAAGACUGGUAGAAAACAUAGAGGGUGCACAGCAGUUCACUUUGUUCCGUCAGCUGACCUCUAUGGGAAAACUUGAAGACAUAAUUCUAAGAAAUAGCGUGAGGGUUUUGAAGCUGGUGGGUUGUCAUUUGAGUUCACUGCCUGAAGACUUGGGUAACCUGUUAUAUCUGGAGGCCUUGGUAUGCAGUGAAAACAAACUCACAGAGCUUCCACAGUCUGUUGGUUAUCUUCAGCAUUUGAAAGUGUUACAAGUUGAUAUGAAUCGCUUAAAACAGCUUCCGGCAAACAUCGGAUCCUUGAAGUCUUUGAAGUUGCUUGCUGCCAAUGACAACCAGUUGGAGUAUCUGCCAGCAAGCAUUUCGGUGCUAGAAAACCUCCAGACUCUCGACUUGUCGAACAAUUGUUUGCGAAGCCUGCCAUUACACUUUCAGUCAUCUUCAUGUCUCAACCAACUUUACAUCCAGAAAAACUCUAUUGAAAAGUUACCACCUUGGAUAGCAAAAUUGUCGAAAAUUCAAGAAUUCCAGGUUGGUGAGAACCAGUUGACCGAGUGGCCGGACUUUGAAGAGUUUGGUCGCACAGCCACAGAGCUCACGGUGUUAGAUGUGUCAGAAAACCGGCUGAGUGCUCUGUCCAGUGGCUUUGGAGGACUACAAUCAUUGAAUUGUUUAAAUUUGGGCCGAAACCCUUUUGUUGACAAUCAGAAUGCAGAAUGUGUUGGCAAUCUGUUGAAAGGGCUGCCAGACAGCUUCUGUCAGCUCCAUGCUGUUACUUUGUUAAGCAUUGAUGGGAAUUGCUUGCAGAACUUACCCGAUAAUUUUGGUGAUUUGCGGUCCCUGAAGAUGCUGAACCUGUGCGACAACGAACUUGAAGCGUUACCAGAUUCUUUCUCUUACCUGAACUCUUUACAACUAUGUCUGCUUUCAAGGAACUCACUGAAUUGCCUACCUGAGCAGUUUGGACACCUGCCUGCUCUCAAGCACCUGGAGGUGUCUCACAACAACCUGGUGGACUUGCCAUCAUCAUUUGGUAAGUUGUCUACGCAAUUAGUCUACCUAGACCUUUGCAAUAAUUGCAUCCUGCAUGAACUAAAGAUCCUUGAGAAAUUCGAAAGGCUCACCUUCCUGGACGUUGGUAGCAACCCAUUUGUGCAGUGUGAUUUGUCGUCCACCUCUCGUGCUGUGAAUCCCCAACUCACCUCAGCCUGUAAGCACUACUUCACUACAUCACUUGCAGGACAGUUUGAAGAUUUUGAUAGUGACGAAGAAGGAAGGGAUGAAGGUAAAAACUGUGAUGAUGAUGAUGAAGAUGAUGAAGAUAAAGAUAAGAAAGGAAAGGUUGUAUAUAGUCAAAUCACAUAUCAACAGGGAGAUAAAGACACAUUGCCAUCAAGAAAUAACCACCAAUCUUCUCCUCAGAACUCUCCUUGUGGCAUAGAUAGCUCGUUUGUGGGUCCUACAGAGUCAUGUAGUGACCCCUUGAAAUCUUCAAUGACCCUAACCCAGCAGCUCAAAGGCAACAUCACGGACAGUGAUGAUGGCACGAAGCAGAAUCAUGUUGCAGCAGAAAUCCACAGAAUGUCUUGUCACCGUGACAACAGUGUCAAUACAGAUCAUCACCAUAGUAACCACACCGACAAGAGAAACAUGUCUGAGGUGAAACGAAAAGAGGAGGAAGACUGGGAUGAAGAGGAAUGGGCUGGAGACAGCAAAGUGGCCCCUGCUUGUCGUGACCACACCAUGAACACUACCAUGACAAACAACACUGUUAAGCACAAUUCCAGCUGCAGACAACCCACCAUGACCACCACAGGUGCUGAACUAAGCAGAGGUCACAUAUUCUUGCCAGCCGAUAUUCACAAAGACAACAUAAAUUAUAACUUUGUUGGUUUCAGAAACUUCACUGGACAAUUUGACAAUGCUGAUGAAUGAAUGCCACUGAUUCUCUCUCUCACACUCACUCACUCACUCUUUCUCUUGUUCAUAUAUAUAUAUAUAUAUAUAUAUAUAUAUAUAUAUACAAGAAAAAUAAAUGACAAAGAAAUGAACAAUUAUCCUAUGAACUGCAUUAGCUUACAGCUGUUUCUGCUAUAAGAGGCAGUCGACUCAUACUUGAGCUUCAUCAGAGCCUUGAAUAUGAAUUGCAAUUUAUUUGGGAAAGAAUUACAUUUGUGCCUAUAUAGGGAAUGGCAUCAACAAUGAGAAAAGUGUAUAGAGAUGUAUAUA